UCAAAUUAAUCAAUGACUGAGACUGAUUCUUCAUUUCUUUCCCUUUUAAAAUACCAAAAACCAAACCCUAACUAAUGCUUCCCAACAACAACCGCUUUCUUCUCUCUCCCUAAGCUCUUCUUUCUCUCAUUACAACCGUUCAUUUCUUCUUCUCCGGCUAACCGUGCCGCCGAUGCUGCCACUACUCCGAUGCCUCUCCUCUCUCUCACCUCACCGGCGACUCCACCAGUUUAGCCAACACCAACGUCGCCGACCCUCUCCCCAUCUUAAAGGCUCCGCCGCCGUCGCCGCUGCGCAUCUCCCCUUCUUAAAGGCUCUACGUAUGGUUUUAUUCUAAUUUUCCUUCCAGGCUUGAUAACAAGUUUGUUUACUUUCACUGGAAUUUCAGCUUUAAGUCCACUGUUGUACCUCUGUUUGAGAAGGUCCUAAGUGCCAGUGAUGCUGGACGAAUAGGCCGGUUGGUUCUGCCGAAAGCAUGUGCUGAAACAUAUUUUCCUACUAUCAACCAAUCAGAGGGUCUUCCUAUAAGGAUCCAAAACAUAAAGGGAAAAGAGUAGACAUUCCAGUUCAGAUUUUGGUCUAAUAACAAUAGUCGAAUAUAUGUUUUAGAGGUGUCACUCCUUGUAUUCAGAAUAUGCAAUUGCAAGUUGGUGAUAACGAAUGAGUUUGAAAGAAAGAAACAAGAAAUAUUAGCGGCUCAAAGUUCAUCAGCUGUGGAUGGAGAAACUAAUUCAGCUAGUCAGCCGGCUCAGUUAAGUGAAAUGGAUAUCUGGGUGCAAUCUGUUGGUGGAAAGAAAAAAAAGGAAGAGUCAAAGGUCUUGACUCCCUGGGUCGCAGGUCGCAGUGUAAAGGCAACUAAUAGUUCAACAUCAACUUUGCCAAAAGAAUUUGAUGAGAUGAUUAAGUCUUUGAAUAUUUUGUUUUGGACUAUUUAAUGUAAUGGAUGUUUUGAAUUAUGUUUUUUCUUAGCUGUAAUGGUUUACAUUAAAUUUAUUUUGAAUGAUGUUUUUGAGAAUUAUUGAAGGUUUUAAA